AAGGCAGUGGAUUGUGAAUCCACCAUGCGCGGGUUCAAUUCCYGUCGUUCGCC
rnacentral:tRNA from 1 species